UGUUAAAAAAUUUAUCCAUUUGUACUGUUAAAAAUUGACGUAGCUGAUUGAAUAAUUAGUCGGUAACACGUGGCAUGCUAUGCAUACCUCAUUUUGACGUGCAUGGAUCAAUUUUUAGCGGUAGAAAUAGAUAAAAUUUUUAAUA
rfam:Gossypium arboreum cultivar AKA8401 contig_79939_1, whole genome shotgun sequence.